rnacentral:rRNA from 1 species
CCUACGGGUGGCAGCAGUGAGGAAUAUUGGUCAAUGGGCGGGAGCCUGAACCAGCCAAGUCGCGUGAGGGAAGACGGUCCUAUGGAUUGUAAACCUCUUUAGGCGGGGAGCCAAGCCGGGCACGCGUGCCCUGCUGUAUAGUCCCCGCAGACUAAGCAUCGGCUACCUCCGUGCCAGCAGCCGCGGUAAUACGGAGGAUGCGAGCGUUAUCCGGCUUUAUUGGGUUUAAAGGGUGCGUAGGCGGAUUUUUAAGUCAGCGGUAAAAUGUCCGGGCUCAACCCGGGCCGGCCGUUGAAACUGGGGAUCAGGAGUGGGCGAGAAGUAGGCGGAAUGCGUGGUGUAGCGGUGAAAUGCAUAGAUAUCACGAAGAACUCCGAUUGCGAAGGCAGCAUACCGGCGCGCGACUGACGCUGAGGCACGAAAGCGUGGGGAUCGAACAGGAUUAGAUACCCCAGUAGUC